UGUAGGAUGGUAUAGUGGUAGCACUGUCGUCUGUCACAUGGAGGACCCGAGUUUGAAUCCUGGUCUCCCAU